GACGAACGCUGGCGGCGCGCUUAACACAUGCAAGUCGAACGGAAAGGCCCUGCUUUUGUGGGGUGCUCGAGUGGCGAACGGGUGAGUAACACGUGAGUAACCUGCCCUUGACUUUGGGAUAACUUCAGGAAACUGGGGCUAAUACCGGAUAGGAGCUCCUGCUGCAUGGUGGGGGUUGGAAAGUUUCGGCGGUUGGGGAUGGACUCGCGGCUUAUCAGCUUGUUGGUGGGGUAGUGGCUUACCAAGGCUUUGACGGGUAGCCGGCCUGAGAGGGUGACCGGCCACAUUGGGACUGAGAUACGGCCCAGACUCCUACGGGAGGCAGCAGUGGGGAAUUUUGCACAAUGGGCGGAAGCCUGAUGCAGCAACGCCGCGUGCGGGAUGACGGCCUUCGGGUUGUAAACCGCUUUCGCCUGUGACGAAGCGUGAGUGACGGUAAUGGGUAAAGAAGCACCGGCUAACUACGUG
rnacentral:rRNA from 1 species